CUAGCAUGAACAAUGGGCUAAUGGUGUGAAAAAAUAUGCACAUAUAAGAUAUAAAUGGAGUGGUUUGUAUGUGAUGGGAAAUGAAAAUAAAAGGCCUAGAAUAAGGGUCAAAUGAUGAAAAGCCCUGGAUGACACAUUAAGAGAUUUAGGCUUUGUUUUUGAUUUGAAAGUAAUGAGAAGGAUCUAAGUAUUUUUGUGGGAUAAAUGAAUAUGAACUCAGUCACAUUGUGCAGCACGUCAUUGUAUCUCUGCUCUGUUCAGCAUCUCUGUUGAUACUUGCUUCUCUGGUUGUGGAUAAAGUUCCAGAAAACUCACAAAACUUUUCUAGUCACUCAAUUUUUGUUGUAUAAUUCAAUUAAAAAUAUCAAAACUUCAAUUUCUAAUCAAAUAUAAAGCUUGUUCCCUUGGCUAGCCAGGCCUAUCACAAGCUCAAAAGUGGGGAAGAAAGAAAUGAUGGACUUCUUCACUCUGGCCUCAUCCGGCUCUUGUCCUCCACCCCUUUCUAGGAACGUCCUCUUCAAGGAUAACUUCUGUGGGGCCGCUAUCCAACCUGUAGGAAAUGUGCUGUUUUACUUUGCAGGUUGUUGAAGUGUCAUUAUGUAGUCUCUUAUCUUCAGAAGCAGGUCAGAUACCAGCUCAUGAAUCUUCCAGUUUCCAGGAGGCUCAUAUUAAGCUCUCAGAGUGAUUCUCUCAAAGCCCUCUCCUUUGGUUGAAGGCAAGAGGAAAGUACUGCAUGGAGAGGGGAAGAAGAAAUCAGCAGUCCUCUGACAACUCCAAAGGUGCUGUCCAGCAUGGUAAUGAAAAUCUGCAGCUGGGGAUCAAAUCACCUGCCCUCUUCUCCCAGCUUCUUCACUUAGGCUCUCUGUUAAAUUAGAUAGGUACUUAACUUGCCUUAGUUUCCUCAUCUCUAAAACGGAACUAAUAAAGGACUUCUCAGGAGAUUUUUAUGAGGAUUAAAUAGCUUCAUAUAUGUUGUACUCUUUGAAGGGCAUUCAGCACAUAGUAUUACACACUAAGUUAUAGGCUAAUAAGAAACUCUCUCCUUAAUGAAAUCCCUACCAAUCUUUUAAAAUUAAUCCAUAGCAUUUUUAUAUACCUUCAAAGUGGCUGAAAAGCUAAGAAUCACAAAACUAGACUAACAGUCCUUAGCGAGACCUGAAUAAAUUGUCUGGCACACAUUGAUUUCAGGUUUCUCUUGGAAAUCUGGGGCAACAAAAAACAUCCAUUCUGUAUCCUACUAUCUAGUCAAUACUAGUUUUAUCCUCAUGAUCUUAUGAGGUAUGUACUGUCAUUAUCCCAAUUUCCAGGUCAAGUAAGUGAAGUGAAGCAUGGAGAGAUAAACUAACUUACUCAAGGCCACAUGGUUAGUGAGGAAAUUAGGAUUGGAACACACGUGCUUUGAUUCCCAUAACUGAUCUUAAACACUGUGCAAUGCUACCUCUCAAAACAGUGUACACAUAUGCACACAUGUUUGAACAGGUUUUAGUGACUAGAUGUAGAAGAUAAAGGUGACUGGCAUUUUAAGCUGUACAAGAAACAGGGUGAUGCUAUAAACCAAAAAUAAAAGUUAUUUGGUAGCAUCAUUUGAGUUAUGCUGAGCAGAACAUGCGUGAACAAUAAUAUAUUGGAAAAUCAGUUCCAAAGAACUCCAAAGAAAGAUUAAAACUAGGAUUGUAGACAUGGAAGCUUUGUAAUAGAUACAGGUUUGUGAGAUGACUAAGUAGAAAACUCUAAAAGAGAAAGCCAAGAGCACGUGAGCAGAAACUCAAUAAGUUCCCUACAUUUAGGGGGAUAUGUAGGAAGAAAGACCAGUGAAUGAAACCAAGAUUUACGUACAAACUCGCAGCCUUAAAACUAAAUUUGACUUGCAGAUGUGUUUUGAAUGACAGGCAAAUUCAUUUUAAAAUAGGUGAUUCGAUAUUUAAAAAGACCAGAAAACGUAGGAACACUGGACCCAUGUUCCUGUGUGGGAACAAAUGGCCACAUUGAAUGAACUCUUACUUCUUUAGGUAGGGCAGGUGCUUUCUGGUCGGUCAUGGUCCCUACCACUCCCUCGUGUUUUGCCUGCUGAGACUUCACCUACUUACUCCUGUGUGUCGCCUGCUUGGUCCUUAGGGACUUGUAUUUGUGAUUCCUGCUUUAGAAAGGUGGAAAAGAAAAGAGAACUCAGAUAUAAAAUUCCUGAGAAGGAUGGCUUUCAAGAAGAAAAGAUAAUCACUCUCUCACCUGCUGCUUAAACAAAGAAAAAAAUGGAGGACUCGUGAAGGAAUUUAGAUUUAGAACUUGGUAAUUUGGGAAAAAAAUAGAAAACACAUUCAGUGGAAAGAGAUUGGAAUGUAUGUUGGCGGUAAGAAACAAAUGGAAAGUAAGGAAAAUUUUUUCAAGUUUUAUAUUGAAGCAAACAAAAUGGCUAAUCAAUUUUUUUCUCUAUCAAUGGAAUGUUUAUAAAGUCUUCUUUGACUCUGCAAAAUACAUUAUCUCUCCUGGGCAUCAACCUGUGUCAUUUGCCUAUCGAUGAAUCUUAUUCAAUCUCAAUCUCUCACAUUUUAGGUCAGGUCCAAUGUAAUCAUGGUAGGAAGGAUUCUAAUCCAUGAGAGUUAUUAAUAUUGAAAUGAG
rnacentral:lncRNA from 1 species